CCUACGGGAGGCAGCAGUGGGGAAUAUUGCACAAUGGGGGAAACCCUGAUGCAGCGACGCCGCGUGAAGGAAGAAGUAUUUCGGUAUGUAAACUUCUAUCAGCAGGGAAGAAAAUGACGGUACCUGACUAAUAAGCACCGGCUAACUACGUGCCAGCAGCCGCGGUAAUACGUAGGGAGCAAGCGUUAUCCGGAUUUACUGGGUGUAAAGGGAGCGUAGGCGGCGAUGCAAGUCAGAUGUGAAAGCCCGGGGCUCAACUCCGGGACUGCUUUUGAAACUGUGUGGCUAGAGUGCAGGAGAGGUAAGUGGAAUUCCUAGUGUAGCGGUGAAAUGCGUAGAUAUUAGGAGGAACACCAGUGGCGAAGGCGGCUUACUGGACUGUAAAUGACGCUGAGGCUCGAAAGCGUGGGGAGCAAACAGGAUUAGAUACCCGAGUAGUC
rnacentral:rRNA from 1 species